GCGCCUAUAGCUCAACUGGAUAGAGCGUCAGACUACGGAUCUGAAGGUUAGGGGUUCGACUCCUCUUAGGCGCACCA
rnacentral:tRNA from 1 species